rnacentral:rRNA from 1 species
UACGGAGGGUGCAAGCGUUAUCCGGAUUCACUGGGUUUAAAGGGUGUGUAGGCGGACUUUUAAGUCAGCGGUGAAAUCUCCGGGCUCAACCCGGAAACUGCCAUUGAUACUAUUGGUCUUGAAUGUUGUUGAGGUGGGCGGAACGGGUCAUGUAGCGGUGAAAUGCAUAGAUAUGACCCGGAACACCGAUUGCGAAGGCAGCUCACUAAGCUGUUAUUGACGCUGAGGCUCGAAAGCGUGGGGAUCAAACAGG